GUUUACAUUUGGUUACUAAAUGUGAGCAUUCUGUCCAAUUUUCAAGUCGCUACAAAUAUUUUAAACUGAAAUACAAUAACUUCGUCUUCUAGUUUUUCCGAAUCAUUAUGAAAUCAAAAAACAACUUACGCCACAAGAAACAAGAUGUAUAAUGAAACAAAAAAGGUUUCUUGUCAUUUUUCGAUUUAAGCAUUUUCCUAAUAAUAAACGUUU